GAUGAACGCUGGCGGCGUGCCUAAUACAUGCAAGUCGAGCGAACGGACGAGAAGCUUGCUUUUCUGAUGUUAGCGGCGGACGGGUGAGUAACACGUGGAUAACCUACCUAUAAGACUGGGAUAACUUCGGGAAACCGGAGCUAAUACCGGAUAAUAUUUUGAACCGCAUGGUUCAAAAGUGAAAGACGGUCUUGCUGUCACUUAUAGAUGGGUCCGCGCUGCAUUAGCUAGUUGGUAAGGUAACGGCUUACCAAGGCAACGAUGCAUAGCCGACCUGAGAGGGUGAUCGGCCACACUGGAACUGAGACACGGUCCAGACUCCUACGGGAGGCAGCAGUAGGGAAUCUUCCGCAAUGGGCGAAAGCCUGACGGAGCAACGCCGCGUGAGUGAUGAAGGUCUUCGGACCGUAAAACUCUGUUAUUAGGGAAGAACAUAUGUGUAAGUAACUGUGCACAUCUUGACGGUACCUAAUCAGAAAGCCACGGCUAACUACGUG
rnacentral:rRNA from 1 species